GACACUGACUCUGAAGCAGCUAAACUGAAUUCAGCCAUCAUUAAUUUUCUCAUCUACACUACUGUGACAUGUUCUGAUGUCUCUGCCUUUAGUAUCUCAUACUACUAGUCAUGUUGUCUUACAUUUAAACAAGAAGACUUACUUUUUUUAUCUUAAAACAAGCUCUGAUCCUGCUGUUAUGUGCAGUCAAGACGCACAUUGGAUGUUGCUUUCCCUCGGUACCACAUUUGAAGUGGAUGGUGCGAGAAGACUGAGUGUGAGAAGGCAGCUCAUUAGCUGUCCGGGUCCAGCAGAGUGGCUCGUUUGUCCCAGGAGAGCUGUUCAGAGUUCUGGGAAACUCACCAACACGCCAACAGCUGCAACUCUACAGCAACCUGAUGAAAACUCUUCCUGUCCUCUCUUCGUCUCUUUCUUCAUCUAAAGAACUUUGUCAGUCUGUCCCAGCAGGCCUGGAUCUCAAUCCAUCUGUACUCACAUCAUUUCAGGGUUUAACUGAAUAAAAGGACCCUUAGAUCAAGAGAUAACCGUCA